rnacentral:lncRNA from 1 species
CAUCAAUCCACAUCGUGAAUUGAGACUGCACGAACCCACCAUCCUAACAAUAUGCACCUGUACAUGUUGUCAUUUAUGUAUCUUAUUACGUCAUGAGGCUAAGAAGUAGAGAUUAAGGAUUUAGACAUUUUAGUUUUCUUAAACAUGUUGUAUUGCAUAUAUUAGAAGCUUUACAAUUUUGUUGAAUUAUUCUAACUUUCGUUACUCUGACGUGGCAUGGCAGCAAAUCAGUGGUAUGACUUUGACGACAGCCAUGUGUCUCCCAUCAGUGAGGACAAGAUCAAAACUUCGGCUGCCUAUGUUUUAUUUUACAGGAGAGUCGAAGAUAUCUAACUUUAGAUGACAGCAACUGACUAUUGAAGGUUGAUUCAUCUCUUUAACAGGUAGUCUCGGAAGAAUUGCAUUAAAGGGUGUAUUCUUUUCUCUUGGGUGUCGUAUGCUUUCUAGUUCAUAAGACUGAAAACCUAUAGAAUAGAAGGAUGCCGAGGAUGGUGUAAGUACAAUACAACAAACUGAAAUUAGAAGUUCAUAUUAAGAAGGAACGAGUUUUACCCCUAAGGCUUUUUGUUGUGGAUGAGUUUUACCUUUAUUUUUCUCUAAAAAGGUAAAGACUAGCCUUGAAAAAGUUGCUCUGCAAAUUUAACAGUAUACUUUUCAAGAAUCCCGGGGUACCAACCUGUUGGAAUUUCGAAAUUUGUACAAUGCACAACUACAAUGAAAACGGUGUUUAUUUUUGUGCUUUUUUGGUGUUGAAUUACUUGUGUGACGAGUCCCUUGCUUUCCUUUCUCCAGCGUUUUACAUAUUACACUUUCUAACUUCAAUGCUACUUGAUGAUGAUCUUGAUGCAGCGGUACACUCGAGAAUGUGUUGUCUUAGUGGUUUGUUACCAUGCAGUUGGAUUCAAACUUCACUGUGGCUCUCCGAGCUUAUGAACUUCUUGUAGUAGUGGUCUUUACAAGAAUUUUGCUAGUGUUUUUGGUAUUUAUUUCCUCGUUUUUGUUCUUUAGAAUAGACUCCAUAUGGAGAAAACUAA